AGAAUCAACGCUGGCGGCGUGCCUAACACAUGCAAGUCGAACGCGAAAGGGACUUCGGUCCUGAGUAGAGUGGCGAACGGGUGAGUAACGCGUGGGUGACCUACCCUCGAGUGGGGGAUAACGUUCCGAAAGGGACGCUAAUACCGCAUGACAUUCCGGGUUUGAAGACCUGGAAAUCAAAGCCGGGGACCGCAAGGCCUGGCGCUCGAGGAGGGGCCCGCGUCUGAUUAGCUAGUUGGCGGGGUAAUGGCCCACCAAGGCGACGAUC
rnacentral:rRNA from 1 species